rnacentral:lncRNA from 1 species
AGAUACGAAAUAACUGGUAACAAACACCAGCCAGGCUUAGUCCUUAAGGUGUGUGAUCCAUAUCAAAGUUCAAAAGAAGAAAUAGACCAUGGUCAACCUGUGAGCUCCAAAGUGAACCAUUCAGCCAAGCACAGGAGAAAUGGAGGCCAGGACCAGUCAGGUAUUGCUGCCCAGGAAGCCUCUGACCUGAGGUAGACCUUACCAGCAAAGGUCAAAGAGCAGGUACCUCAGGCCAUCUUUGCCUCCCCAUACCAGGAAGCCUUCCAGAAGAGGUUCCAUCUGCUCAGUCAUUGUUUUCCCCUAUGGUUUCUUGGUAAUAAAUGUUGGGUUUUUUUUCCUGAAA